CGAGCAGGUGCGAAAGCAGGUCAUAGUGAUCCGGUGGUUCUGAAUGGAAGGGCCAUCGCUCAACGGAUAAAAGGUACUCCGGGGAUAACAGGCUGAUACCGCCCAAGAGUUCAUAUCGACGGCGGUGUUUGGCACCUCGAUGUCGGCUCAUCACAUCCUGGGGCUGAAGUAGGUCCCAAGGGUAUGGCUGUUCGCCAUUUAAAGUGGUACGCGAGCUGGGUUUAGAACGUCGUGAGACAGUUCGGUCCCUAUCUGCCGUGGGCGCUGGAGAACUGAGGGGGGCUGCUCCUAGUACGAGAGGACCGGAGUGGACGCAUCACUGGUGUUCGGGUUGUCAUGCCAAUGGCACUGCCCGGUAGCUAAAUGCGGAAGAGAUAAGUGCUGAAAGCAUCUAAGCACGAAACUUGCCCCGAGAUGAGUUCUCCCUGACUCCUUGAGAGUCCUGAAGGAACGUUGAAGACGACGACGUUGAUAGGCCGGGUGUGUAAGCGCAGCGAUGCGUUGAGCUAACCGGUACUAAUGAACCGUGAGGCUUAACCUU
rnacentral:rRNA from 1 species